rnacentral:rRNA from 1 species
CGCGCAGGCGGUCGUUCAAGUCGAGUGUGAAAGCCCCCGGCUCAACUGGGGAGGGUCAUUCGAUACUGAUCGACUCGAAGGCAGGAGAGGGAAGCGGAAUUCCCGGUGUAGUGGUGAAAUGCGUAGAUAUCGGGAGGAACACCAGUGGCGAAGGCGGCUUCCUGGCCUGUUCUUGACGCUGAGGCGCGAAAGCUAGGGGAGCAAACG